UCCCUAAGACUCCAUAUGAGCUAUGGCAUAGUGAAAAAUUAAAUUUGGGACAUUUACACCCAUGGGAUUCAGCUGGAUUUGUGACGAGACCUCCCACAAGUAUGGAAAACUAGGCCUUAGAGCUAGAAAGCAUAUAUUUAUAAGAUAUUUUGAAAGCUCAAAGGGUUAUAUUAUGUAUGGUGAACAUCCAAACGGAGGGAUGACUGAGAUAGUCUUGUGAUGUAGAUUUCACUGAGAUUAAUUUUUCCUAUAUUGGUGACACAAAUGAUAGUCUUGACCUCUAUGAGGAGAAUGAGGUGAGAGAUCUUUUACCAUCUUCAAGCAA
rnacentral:lncRNA from 1 species